AUAUGGAUCGACAACCGUUUCAUUUGGGAUCCAACGUCAUUUUCAAACGUAACACUGCUGCACGUGCCUAGUGACGUCAUUUGGAAACCUGACAUUGUGCUAUCCAACAUUGCGACUGAAUACCCGAUAUCUAAGAAACCUGACGUCAACGUCGUUAUUAGCAGCGACGGUUUAAUUAGCUACAGACGUCUACAAACCAUCUACGCCUAUGGAUGUAAGGCGGCUCUCCAGGUCACCUGAAGAAUACAGUGGCUGUAACACGGUAUAUUUAUUAUCUCUUCAAUCAGUGUGGG